AGUGAACGCUGGCGGCAGGCCUAACACAUGCAAGUCGAACGGCAGCACAGCAGUAGCAAUACUGUGGGUGGCGAGUGGCGGACGGGUGAGGAAUACAUCGGAAUCUGCCUAGUCGUGGGGGAUAACGUAGGGAAACUUACGCUAAUACCGCAUACGACCUACGGGUGAAAGCGGGGGAUCGCAAGACCUCGCGCGAUUAGAUGAGCCGAUGUCCGAUUAGCUAGUUGGCGGGGUAAUGGCCCACCAAGGCGACGAUCGGUAGCUGGUCUGAGAGGAUGAUCAGCCACACUGGAACUGAGACACGGUCCAGACUCCUACGGGAGGCAGCAGUGGGGAAUAUUGGACAAUGGGGGGCAACCCUGAUCCAGCGAUGCCGCGUGUGUGAAGAAGGCCUGAGGGUUGUAAAGCACUUUAGUUGGGGAGGAAGGAAUCCAGAUAUGAAUAAGAUUUGGAAGUGACGUUACCAAGAAUAAGCACCGGCU
rnacentral:rRNA from 1 species